GGAAGUAAAAGUCGUAACAAGGUCUCCGUAGGUGAACCUGCGGAGGGAUCAUUACUGAGUGAGGGCCUUCGGGCUCGACCUCCAACCCUUUGUGAACACAACUUGUUGCUUCGGGGGCGACCCUGCCGUUUCGACGGCGAGCGCCCCCGGAGGCCUUCAAACACUGCAUCUUUGCGUCGGAGUUUAAGUAAAUUAAACAAAACUUUCAACAACGGAUCUCUUGGUUCUGGCAUCGAUGAAGAACGCAGCGAAAUGCGAUAAGUAAUGUGAAUUGCAGAAUUCAGUGAAUCAUCGAAUCUUUGAACGCACAUUGCGCCCCUUGGUAUUCCGAGGGGCAUGCCUGUUCGAGCGUCAUUUCACCACUCAAGCCUCGCUUGGUAUUGGGCGCCGCGGUGUUCCGCGCGCCUCAAAGUCUCCGGCUGAGCUGUCCGUCUCUAAGCGUUGUGAUUUCAUUAAUCGCUUCGGAGCGCGGGCGGUCGCGGCCGUUAAAUCUUUCACAAGGUUGACCUCGGAUCAGGUAGGGAUACCCGCUGAACUUAAGCAUAUCAAUAAGCGGAGG
rnacentral:rRNA from 1 species